UUACUGUAGUCUACUACAAUGUAAUUAAAGCAACAUCAAAGAACUUUCCCUCUGUCGCACGCACGCUAUUUGUUUACCCAGCACCGGCUUAGCAAAUAACGAUGUCCACAGACAAGGUAGAAUAUGUUGCACGAUUUAUGAAAGUGCGAUGUAUUGCGACAUCAGAUGCGAGGCAAAUUUGUAGUUUCUUAUGUCUCAUUUCAUCGAACUACAGAUCCGCUAGCCCUGGAAGCAAAUGUAAUUUGCUGCCGCUAGGGUGCGUCUAGAUUUCUAGGCUACAGAUACGCUACCCGAUCUGGCAAACUUACGUAGUGCGGUUAUAGCCGAUAGAGGGCCGCAAAGCAAAUUCAGAAGUGCCGAUCACCCUGUUACAAGUUGAUGAACCACUGAAACUAUUUUGGAACCAUUAUUUUAAGGUACAAAAAAGUCUUUAGUGUUGCUUUAAUGCUAAAAUAUAUUAUUCAGGUGCACACAGAUUAAAACUUUUGCUGAACUCUUGAUAGACUUGCCUUUGGCUUUGAGGGAACCCUUCCCUUAGUUGAUUUAAACCAGUUGUAUGAGUACUAAUGUGUGCAGGCUGCAAAUCAAAACUAAAAGUAGUUUUCGUUGUAACCACCAGAUUAAUACCAGCAGCAAAGAGCAGAUAAAAGAUCAGAUUUUGUAUCGAGACAUACUUGUCAUUAAAGUUACUGUUUACAUUUCUCUAAAUGUAAAUAUGCAAUUGUAUUUUUGUAGAGGAAUGUGUGACCCUUUCAGAGGAUCUGAACUACCUGGCAGCAAAGUUCCUCCCCAUCACCAAAAUCAGCCAGACCUGUCUGGAGGAGGGUGAUGGAUUACAUGAGGCCAUUGCAAAAACUGAAAACUGCAGGAAGACACUGGGACACCUCCUGACCACCAUGGAGGCCAAUUGGCAAGAUUAUGGCCUGGCCACUCAUGGCCUUGGUCCCCAAAUGUUGAAGGGCACCUUUGCCCUGAUCGACACCUGUCUGGCCAAAAAAAUUGAAAAUUUGAAGACCCAGAAAUAAAAGACAAACAAGCCAGUCUCCAACCGGCCCAAUAACUGUACAUCAAGUGUUCAACAUGUUCAAUAAAAUCAGUUUUUUGAGUGGAGUCUG